rnacentral:misc_RNA from 1 species
UCCCCGUUUUGCGGGGCAGUCUCGCUAGAAACAUAUAACUAGCAACGGGGGUUGCGCUCGUUGCGGGACUUAACCCAACACCUCACGGCACGAGCUGACGACAGCCAUGCAGCACCUGUGCACGGGCCCCGAAGGGAGACCCGGUUUCCCGGGGUGUCUCGUGCAUGUCAAGCCCUGGUAAGGUUCUUCGUGUUGCAUCGAAUUAAACCACACGCUCCGCUGCUUGUGCGGGCCCCCGUCAAUUCCUUUGAGUUUCAACCUUGCGGUCGUACUCCCCAGGCGGGGUACUUCCUGCGUUAGCGCCGGCACCCAGAGGGUCGCUCCCCCAGGCACCUAGUACCCAUCGUUUACGGCGUGGACUAC